rnacentral:tRNA from 1 species
CAUUAAGAAGCUAUGUAUCAGCACUAGCUUUUAAGCUAGAUAAAGAGGGGGGUCCCCCCUCCUUAAUGA